UAAAAAGCUUCAAACUGGGAUUAGAUACCCCACUAUGCUCAGCCAUAAACUCAGACGUUAAUUUACAACAGACGUCCGCCAGGGUACUACGAGCGUUAGCUUAAAACCCAAAGGACUUGGCGGUGCCUUAGACCCCCCUAGAGGAGCCUGUUCUAGAACCGAUAACCCCCGUUAAACCUCACCACUUCUAGUCAUCCCCGCCUAUAUACCGCCGUCGUCAGCUUACCCUGUGAAGGGUAAAUAGUAAGCAAAAUGGACACAACCCAAAACGUCAGGUCGAGGUGUAGCGAACGAAGUGGGAAGAAAUGGGCUACAUUUUCUGCCACAGAAAAUACACGAACAGCACCAUGAAACCUGGUGCUCAAAGGAGGAUUUAGUAGUAAAAAGGAAAUAGAGUGUCCUUUUGAACCCGGCUCUGAGGCGCGUACACACCGCCCGUCACCCUCUGCAGUCAA
rnacentral:rRNA from 1 species